ensembl:snRNA U6 U6 spliceosomal RNA
AUGCUCGCUUUGGCAGCACAUAUACUAAAAUUAGAACGAUACAGAGAAGAUUAGCACGACCCCUGUGCAAGGAUGAUACGCAAAUUUGUGAAGCAUUCCGUAUUCUU